rnacentral:tRNA from 1 species
GGGCAGGUGGGUGAGUGGCUUAAACCAGUGGAUUGCUAAUCCGCCGUACCCCUUAUCGGGUACCGAGGGUUCGAAUCCCUCCCUGUCCGCCA